GACGAACGCUGGCGGCGUGCCUAAUACAUGCAAGUAGAACGCAGUUGCGAACGGGUGAGUAACGCGUAGGUAACUACCUAUUAGAGGGGGAUAACUAAUGGAAACGAUAGCAAAUACCGCAUACUAGUAGAUGGACCUGCGUUGUAUUAGCUAGUAGCUAGGGUAAUGGCCUACCUAGGCAACGAUACAUAGCAGACCCGGUGGUGUGAUCUGCCAAACUGGGAAGGGGUCACGGCCCAGACUUCGACGGGCGGCAGCAGUAGGGAAUCUGCGGCGAUAGGGGGAACCCUGACCGAGCAACGCCGUGUGAGUGAAGAAGGUUUUCGGAUCGGAAAGCUCUGUUGUUAAGGAAGCGGUACUUAACCAGAAAGGGACGGCUAACUACGUGCCAGCAGCCGCGGUAAUUC
rnacentral:rRNA from 1 species